rnacentral:rRNA from 1 species
GAUGAACGCUGGCGGCGUGCUUAACACAUGCAAGUCGAACGAUGAAGCCCAGCUUUCUGCGUGGGUUUGUGUCGCGAGCGUGUGUAUAACACGUGUAAAAUCCCCUUCUGACUGGGGUAAGACCGCGCGAAACGGCGUCAUAUCGGGUAGGAGCGCCCCCCAGACGGCGGCAGCUGCUAGGAUUUAUCGGUUUGGGAUGGACUCGCGGCCUAUCAGCUUGUUGGUGAGGUAAAGGCUCACCAAGGCGCCGACGGGUAGCCGGCCUGAGAGGGUGACCGGCCACACUGGGACUGAGACACGGCCCAGACUCCUACGGGAGGCAGCAGUGGGGAAUAUUGCACAAUGGGCGAAAGCCUGAUGCAGCGACGCCGCGUGAGGGAUGACGGCCUUCGGGUUGUAAACCUCUUUCAGUAGGGAAGAAGCGAAAGUGACGGUACCUGCAGAAGAAGCGCCGGCUAACUACGUG